AUCAGAAAUACCUGUCCACGUUCUAGCUCUAGUGACUUCUAAUUUUGUACCAGCAUUUAUCAGAAUAAGUUGUCCUUUUGCAGUUUUCCCAUCAGCAAAAAGGGAAAUAAAGUUUGUGUGUGUUUUUUUUUUUUUUUUGUUUGCUUGUUUUUAAUAUAUAUUGAUCCACACGGUGUAGAUGACUAGCAAAUGACAGAUAGAUCUUCUGAAGAUAUGAGAAGCACCUUGGUGUCUGAAUUUGCUGCAUUACGCUACUUGUGAGAACAGGCUGUCGCUCCCGCGGAAAGGAGCUGCGACGGGAGCCAUCCGUGCCCCGAGGACGGCGUCUGGGCGCUGCGAAACCAGCGCGUGAUUGUGUCAUACUCCGAGACAUAUUAAUGCUGUCCUUCAUCGCUUUUUAAUGCUUUUUUGGGGGGAAGUACAAAUGAACUUGUCAGGAAUUUCAGCUUGUAAUUUGUUUUUUUUUUUUUUUUUUUUUUCUGUUUCUCAGUAAAAGAAGAGAAACAGAAGAUAAAUAAACAAGGAAAUCAAUAUCAAUCUGAAUCUCCCUAAAAAGAAAAAAACAUGAUGAGAAGAGGUGAAACUUUUUUUUUUUUUUUUAGAAUUUGUCAACAUGCUUCUUUUAAUCUGAUUUUUCUAGCUGACUUUCUUCCUUAGGCUAACAAAUUUCCUAUAUAUAUUUUUUUUUUAUCUCAUGAAAUUUUCAGUAACAACUCUUUUAUCUGUUUGGGAAAGCAGGAUUGAAAAAAGUUACAUGCUUUUCCCAUGCUUCCCGUAGAACUCUAAAAAAUAAUAACUAUUGAAUGAAAUUAAAUAUUAGAUAAUAUCAUUUAUACAUCAAGGCAUCUGACGAGUUACAUAGACAACAUUAAUUCUUCUUUCUACCUUUCAGGUGCUUGAAUUGUAAUCUUGAUAUUAUUUUAACAUAUAUGUAUACUUAGAUAGGCAGCUGAACUACAAAUCAUAGAGGAAGGGUGCAUAAACUUCAUACCACUGAAAAUAUUCCCUAUUAAAAGAUACAAUGUACACAUAAUACACGUUGCCUACAUAAUAACAGUUUACUCCAUUAUGCAGAUGACUAAAUCUCUGUAUUUUCUGUACAGUUCUGUAACCAAAAAAAGGUCAAAAAGAAAACUUUUGGGUUCAAGCAAUUUUGGAAAGUACUAAUUCCAAGUAGAAGUCUGGAAUCUGCAUUUAUAUGCUGUUUUUUUUUUUUUUUUUUAAGUCUAUUUAUAACAAAAAUCUGUUUAACAUAAAUCUAACCAUACUAUUGCGGAGGAAAAUCAAGUUUCACAGAUGAGAGCAUCAGAACUGGGCAAUCAUUCACUAUAAUGUCAGAAAAUGUGGCAUAUUUUAUAUAUAUGAAAAGUGUCAACUCCUUAUCUAGAGAUAUAUACCAUUAAACAGUGAUGAAGCACUAUCGGAAUGGCAAAGCAGUAAAUGGCCACUGGGACAUGGGUAAAAGCUAUUUGCCUUGGAUAGGCUAACACAGGAAUCGAAGCCAGCCCUAGAGCAAAGCCACACGGCCGAACAUGAUGAGCUUAGACAAAGUUUGACUCAUUCAAAUUUCCCUCCUCCUUUUACUCUAGAGAGCCAAAUAAACCAAAGUUCACAUCCACAUUUGCAUUUUCUACUUGUCUUUCUGGUUGAAAUGCAUUGAAUGAAAUUAAGUAGUUCUCAACAAAUAAAAAUCCCUCUAAUUCCACAGGAAAGGAGGAAUUUUAAAGGGCUCAGGUUGCAAUCAUUAACCUUGAUUAACCUAAAUAUGACUGAUCAUCUAAUAUGGUUGAAAUCUCCAAAUUUAUUCAAUGCUCACUCUAUAAGCCCCAUUUUAGUUGAUAAUAUAACCUUGCAAGAGUUAACUUUUCUUCAAAUCACGUAUGCAGAUUGUGGGUUUAAUUGUCAGUUGUGCCUCUGCAAACUUGCCCAGUUUCAUCUUGGAAGUAUAAGCAUCUCAGAAAGUUUUAUUUCUCUAACAGCAAAUAUUUAAUUAAAUAGGAUAUUGUAAAAUAAAUAAAUUAAUCUGUAAACACGCUGGAGGGCAGAAGGACAUGUUUUUAUUUAUAUGAUUUUAAUAAAAGAUAUGUUUCUAGUUAAAUCCCUAUGUGAGUGUUCUAAUAUAUAAAAUGCAAUAGAAGAAA